GACGAACGCUGGCGGCGUGCUUAACACAUGCAAGUCGAACGGAAAGGCCCUGCUUUUGUGGGGUGCUCGAGUGGCGAACGGGUGAGUAACACGUGAGUAACCUUCCCUUGACUUUGGGAUAACUUCAGGAAACUGGGGCUAAUACCGGAUAGGAGCUCCUGCUGCAUGGUGGGGGUUUGAAAGUUUCGGCGGUUGGGGAUGGACUCGCGGCUUAUCAGCUUGUUGGUGGGGUAGUGGCUUACCAAGGCUUUGACGGGUAGCCGGCCUGAGAGGGUGACCGGCCACAUUGGGACUGAGAUACGGCCCAGACGCCUAAGGGAGGCAGCAGUGGGGAAUAUUGCACAAUGGGCGGAAGCCUGAUGAAGAAACGCCGCGUGCGGGAUGACGGCCUUCGGGUUGUAAACCGCUUUCGCCUGUGACGAAGCGUGAGUGACGGUAAUGGGUAAAGAAGCACCGGCUAACUACGUG
rnacentral:rRNA from 1 species